rnacentral:rRNA from 1 species
CCUUGUACACACCGCCCGUCACACCAUGGGAGUGGGUUGUACCAGAAGGGGGUAGACUAACCGCAAGGAGGUCGCUGCCCACGGUAUGGUCCAUGACUGGGGUG